GUGCUCGCUUCAGCAGCACAUAUACUAAAAUUGGAAUGAUACGGAGAAGAUUAGCAUGGCCCCUGCGCAAGGAUGACACGCAGAUUCACCAACCGUUCCAUAUUUUU
ensembl:snRNA U6 U6 spliceosomal RNA